UGAGGAAUAUUGGUCAAUGGGCGCAAGCCUGAACCAGCCAAGUAGCGUGCAGGAUGACGGCCCUAUGGGUUGUAAACUGCUUUUAUACAGGAAUAAAGUUAGCCACGUGUGGUUAUUUGUAGGUACUGUAUGAAUAAGGACCGGCUAAUUCCGUGCCAGCAGCCGCGGUAAUACGGAAGGUCCAGGCGUUAUCCGGAUUUAUUGGGUUUAAAGGGAGCGUAGGCCGUCUGUUAAGCGUGUUGUGAAAUGUAGAUGCUCAACAUCUGAAUUGCAGCGCGAACUGGCAGACUUGAGUGUGCGCAACGUAGGCGGAAUUCGUGGUGUAGCGGUGAAAUGCUUAGAUAUCACGAAGAACUCCAAUUGCGAAGGCAGCUUACGGGAGCACAACUGACGCUGAAGCUCGAAAGUGCGGGUAUCGAACA
rnacentral:rRNA from 1 species